rnacentral:rRNA from 1 species
UACAGAGGGGGCAAGCGUUGUUCGGAUUCAUUGGGCGUAAAGGGUGCGUAGGCGGCGCGGUAAGUCGGGUGUGAAAUCUCGGAGCUUAACUCCGAAACUGCAUUCGAUACUGCCGUGCUUGAGGACUGGAGAGGAGACUGGAAUUUACGGUGUAGCGGUGAAAUGCGUAGAUAUCGUAAGGAAGACCAGUGGCGAAGGCGGGUCUCUGGACAGGUCCUGACGCUGAGGCACGAAGGUCAGGGGAGCAAACGGG